GAAUGUAAGUGCAAUCUGGCUGUGGGAACUGUCACCCCAUUGAUUGUCAGUAUUGACUCAGGUAUCUGGCUGGCUACACAGGUGUCCCCUUCCUUGCUCACCACUCCAUGUAGUUGUAUGUUUGGUUGAAGACGAUGAUCUUCUCCAAACAGAGGACUGUUCUUCAGUCAAGCAUAUAUGAGUAACUGUCCUCCUCCGCUAGAACCUCCAAACAAGCAGUCAAGAAAAUGUCUGUGUCCUAGAAAAAUUUAGAGUUCAGCAUGUAAUCAAUACUUUCAUGGGAUAGUUAAUCCUCAAUGUCA
rnacentral:snRNA from 1 species